GACGAACGCUGGCGGCGUGCUUAACACAUGCAAGUCGAACGGAAAGGCCCUGCUUUUGUGGGGUGCUCGAGUGGCGAACGGGUGAGUAACACGUGAGUAACCUGCCCUUGACUUUGGGAUAACUUCAGGAAACUGGGGCUAAUACCGGAUAGGAGCUCCUGCUGCAUGGUGGGGGUUGGAAAGUUUCGGCGGUUGGGGAUGGACUCGCGGCUUAUCAGCUUGUUGGUGGGGUAGUGGCUUACCAAGGCUUUGACGGGUAGCCGGCCUGAGAGGGUGACCGGCCACAUUGGGACUGAGAUACGGCCCAGACUCCUACGGGAGGCAGCAGUGGGGAAUAUUGCGCAAUGGGCGGAAGCCUGAUGCAGCAACGCCGCGUGCGGGAUGACGGCCUUCGGGUUGUAAACCGCUUUCGCCUGUGACGAAGCGUGAGUGACGGUAAUGGGCAAAGAAGCACCGGCUAACUACGUG
rnacentral:rRNA from 1 species